AUGCCUCGCAUCCACUAUGCAAAUUUCUGUUGUUUGGUAUCCUGUAUGGGCUUUUCAGCCUGGCCCAGUGGAUGCAAAAAGGGGCCUCUCAGUCAGGCUGAGGGAAACAUAGAGAUCAAGCGUAGCUCGCGUACAGGCUCGUUUCUUCGCCUUUUCUCUCCCUCUGUUCGUCUGUGCCGACCAAGCCCCGCCGCGCCCUCGUCAGGCGCCGUCGCCGCCGUGCCCUCGCCAAGCUCCGCCGCGCACUCGUCAAGCGCCACCGCCACCCCGCCCCUCCCUCGCCAAGCUCCGCCGCGCGCUCGUCAAGCUCCGCCGUCGGCGUGCCCUCGCCAAGCUCCGCCGCCGUCACGCCCUCGCCAAGCGCCGUCGCUGUAG
rnacentral:rRNA from 1 species